UUUAUUGUCAACGUCAUUUUUGGACACGCGUUUCACUCCAAUUUUUAUAAGACCCACUUGAUGGUGGAUGGCCACUGUCUCAGCAAUUGUACAGGCAAUGCAAAAUUACACGGCAUAUUGCUCAGGAAACAUGGCAGAUAUUGUUUCGUCAUUUGUAAAUUUUACUAAGGAAAACGAUAUCCAAACAUUUUUUGGACAUAUACAUUCCAUUCGUUUCUAGCUUAAAUAGCCAGACGAGCUUGCAACUUUCUUAAUAAAAUUACGGGAGCUCAUGGACAAGGCGCGAAGCAAACAGCUGUUCCAGUUAAAUCGGUAUGACAGUCGUGAUUACAUCAAGGCGGUUGACGAUCAAUUCAUGAUCUGAUGUCUACGGGUUCCAGGGAAUAGCGAGCUUGGCCAUAAAUUUGUUUGUCUAUAAAUGAAAGAACAAAGAAAAAUAAAACGCCCUGCUCGUAACUUGAACCGGAUCAUUUGAGUUCGCGGCAAAGCCACAGUGAUUUGUGUGGUUUGCGAGAAACGAAUGGAAUAGAAAAUGAGAUCAUUCUGUCUUCAGCGACGUUUUACAAUAAUUCCACUUUUCCCCCUUUUUCCACGUCUUUGACUGUAACUCUUAUUGUAUCUUCAUUGAGAGAUGUGAGCGAUUUAUAGAGGAGAAUAAUAAAGAAUAGUUUUAACUGAUAUAGUUAAA